AAUCUUGCAAAAGGGGCGAAAGCCUGAUGGAGCAACGCCGCGUGUGUGAAGAAGGUUUUCGGAUCGUAAAACUCUGUUGUAAGGGAAGAACAAGUACAGUAGUAACUGGCUGUACCUUGACGGUACCUUAUUAGAAAGCCACGGCUAUCUACGUGCUAGCAGCCGCGGUAAUACGUAGGUGGCAAGCGUUGUCCGGAAUUAUUGGGCGUAAAACGCGAGCAGGCGGUCCUUUAAGUCUGAUGUGAAAGCCCACGGCUCAACCGUGGAGGGUCAAUGGAAAAUGGGGGACUUGAGUGCAGAAGAGGAAAGUGGAAUUCCAAGUGUAGCGGUGAAAUGCGUAGAGAUUUGGAGGAACACCAGUGGCGAAGGCGACUUUAUGGUCUGUAACUGACGCUGAGGCGCGAAAGCGUGGGGAGCAAACA
rnacentral:rRNA from 1 species